rnacentral:rRNA from 1 species
CCUACGGGAGGCAGCAGUAGGGAAUAUUGGACAAUGGGUGCGAGCCUGAUCCAGCCAUGCCGCGUGCAGGAAGACGGCCUUCUGGGUUGUAAACUGCUUUUGCCAGGGGAUAAAAAGUCCCUGCGGGGAAAAUUGAAGGUACCUGGUGAAUAAGCCACGGCUAACUACGUGCCAGCAGCCGCGGUAAUACGUAGGUGGCAAGCGUUGUCCGGAUUUAUUGGGUUUAAAGGGUGCGUAGGUUGUGUUGUAAGUCAGUGGUGAAAUCCGGCAGCUUAACUGUCGAUGUGCCAUUGAUACUGCAGCACUUGAGUACAGACGAGGUAGGCGGAAUUGACGGUGUAGCGGUGAAAUGCUUAGAUAUCGUCAAGAACACCGAUAGCGAAGGCAGCUUACUAGACUGUAACUGACACUGAUGCACGAAAGUGUGGGGAUCAAACAGGAUUAGAUACCCUGGUAGUCCACACUGUAAACGAUGAUUACUCGAUGUUGGCGAUACACGGCCAGCGUCUUAGCGAAAGCGAUAAGUAAUCCACCUGGGGAGUACGCCCGCAAGGGUGAAACUCAAAGGAAUUGACGG